AGGGGAACACCUGGGUGCCACCAUGGGGGUUUGCAACAGGCUUUGGAGGGGGACUGAUGGGGUUUGGGGGUGGUGUUCAAGAGGGCGGGGGUGGAGUUGUGCUGUCCUUCCAUCUGAGGGUCCCAAGGGGGGCGUUUGGGGGUCCUGCUGUGGUUUGGGUGUGGGACCGCGGCGUUCAGGGAUGGUGGGACCGCAGCGGAUUGGAUUUCUCGUCCCUGAGGGUUCAACAUUGGGGUUCCACGUGCGCAGCUUUUGGGGUUCCCUUCUCUGGGUUUGUGAGUGCUUGGUGGGGGGUGGGACGUGUUGAGAGCCUGCAGAGCUGCAACGAGUGUGAAGGCUGAGAUCUGGAGUCUGGCUUCAGCACGGGAUGCAGAACUCGAGUCCCCCGUCAGCUGGGUUUGGGAGAUUCCUCAUGAAGUCAGGAGGCUGCGGGCAUCGAUGAGGAAGAAAAGGCCGAGGCCAAAGACGAGCGCAGCCACAAAGCCCCUCACCAGUGCCAGCACCAGAUUGGCACGGGACUGCUGCUCAGCACCCGUGGGCUCUGCAGCACCAGCUCCACGGGGUCGCUCAGCUCCGAUGUCUCUGCUGACCCAUACAGGUGAUACUGACACCGAUACGGACCUGCGUGCUCCCGCUUUGUGCUUACAAAGGAGAACUCUGCAGUGUCCU